rnacentral:rRNA from 1 species
AGUGAACGCUGGCGGUAGGCCUAACACAUGCAAGUCGAACGGCAGCACAGUAAGAGCUUGCUCUUACGGGUGGCGAGUGACGGACGGGUGAGGAAUACAUCGGAAUCUACUUUUUCGUGGGGGAUAACGUAGGGAAACUUACGCUAAUACCGCAUACGACCUACGGGUGAAAGCAGGGGAUCUUCGGACCUUGCGCGAUUGAAUGAGCCGAUGUCGGAUUAGCUAGUUGGCGGGGUAAAGGCCCACCAAGGCGACGAUCCGUAGCUGGUCUGAGAGGAUGAUCGGCCACACUGGAACUGAGACACGGUCCAGACUCCUACGGGGGGCAGCAGUGGGGAAUAUUGGACAAUGGGCGAAAGCCUGAUCCAGCCAUACCGCGUGGAUGAAGAAGGCCUUCGGGUUGGAAAGCCCUUUUGUUGGGAAAGAAAAGCAGCAGGUUAAUACCCCGCUGUUCUGACGGUACCCAAAGAAUAAGCACCGGCUAACUUCGUG